AGCGAACGCUGGCGGCAGGCCUAACACAUGCAAGUCGAACGAACCUUUCGGGGUUAGUGGCGGACGGGUGAGUAACACGUGGGAACGUGCCUUUAGGUUCGGAAUAACUCAGGGAAACUUGUGCUAAUACCGAAUGUGCCCUUCGGGGGAAAGAUUUAUCGCCUUUAGAGCGGCCCGCGUCUGAUUAGCUAGUUGGUUGAGGUAAUGGCUCACCAAGGCGACGAUCAGUAGCUGGUCUGAGAGGAUGAUCAGCCACAUUGGGACUGAGACACGGCCCAAACUCCUACGGGAUGCAGCAGUGGGGAAUCUUGCGCAAUGGGCGAAAGCCUGACGCAGCCAUGCCGCGUGAAUGAUGAAGGUCUUAGGAUUGUAAAAUUCUUUCACCGGGGACGAUAAUGACGGUACCCGGAGAAGAAGCCCCGGCUAACUUCGUG
rnacentral:rRNA from 1 species